rnacentral:rRNA from 3 species
UACGUUGUCUGCUAUACGCAGGAAGACCCGCU